rnacentral:rRNA from 1 species
UACGAAGGGUGCAAGCGUUAUCCGGAUUCAUUGGGUUUAAAGGGUGCGUAGGCGGAGCGAUAAGUCAGUGGUGAAAUCCUGCAGCUUAACUGUAGAAUUGCCAUUGAUACUGUCGUUCUUGAGUAUGCUCGACGUAGGCGGAAUGUGCCGUGUAGCGGUGAAAUGCUUAGAUAUGGCACAGAACACCGAUAGUGAAGACAGCUUACGAGGGCAAAACUGACGCUGAGGCACGAAAGCGUGGGGAUCGAACAGG